rnacentral:rRNA from 1 species
UACGUAGGGUGCGAGCGUUUGUCCGGAAUUACUGGGCGUAAAGAGCUCGUAGGUGGUUUGUCGCGUUGUCCGUGAAAACUCACAACUCAAUUGUGGGCGUGCGGGCGAUACGGGCAGACUGGAGUACUGCAGGGGAGACUGGAAUUCCUGGUGUAGCGGUGGAAUGCGCAGAUAUCAGGAGGAACACCGGUGGCGAAGGCGGGUCUCUGGGCCAUAACUGACGCUGAGAAGCGAAAGCAUGGGGAGCGAACAGG